rnacentral:lncRNA from 1 species
UUCUAGGUAGAAAAUGAAAAUUACUUUUAUAUCCGUUACCAUUCUUUCUCACUACGAUCACUCUUGCUAUAUUUUCUUGCAACCGUUGCGAAAAUUUAACGCUCGUGCAACGAUAAACCGACGUUAAAGCCUUGUUUAACUAAAAAAGUAGAGCAAACCUCAGAAACUGAUUUU